rnacentral:hammerhead_ribozyme from 1 species
AUCUAGCUGACGAAUCCCAAAUAGGACGAAACACGCGUCAAACUGGAU